AGAAACACCCAACUCAAGCUCACUAUAAGACAGACUUAAUCAUAGGACUCAAAUGCUUUCCCUCCUUGGGGAUUACAGCUCAAAGAACUGUAAGCCUCAGGCCCUACAGAAGGAGUCUCUAUGAAAACUCAAAGACAACAGUGGAAGCAAAAGCAAAGACAGUAAAGGAAAUGUCAGCCUCUUACCCCACAACUAUAGUAAACUGAUGAAUGAAGGAGGCAGCUGGUUUCUAACAUCUCUGCUUUGACAGCGCUCAGAGCCACUGGAUCCUCAGAUACAGUUAAAGUCGUUGGUAGCUUCUGGAGAAAGAGCACUUGAACAUCUUCAAAAUGCCAACUUUUUUUCAGGGAAUAAUAUCCAUGUGUCUCAAAGUGAAAAUUA
rnacentral:lncRNA from 1 species